UACGUAGGGGGCUAGCGUUGUCCGGAAUCAUUGGGCGUAAAGCGCGUGUAGGCGGUCCGGUAAGUCCGCUGUGAAAGUCGGGGGCUCAACCCUCGGAUGCCGGUGGAUACUGUCGGGCUUGAGUACGGAAGAGGCGAGUGGAAUUCCUGGUGUAGCGGUGAAAUGCGCAGAUAUCCGGAGGAACACCGGUGGCGAAGGCGGCUUCCUGGACCGACACUGACGCUGAGGCGCGAAAGCUAGGGGAGCAAACGGG
rnacentral:rRNA from 1 species